CAGUCGAGCGGGCGUAGCAUACGUCAGCGGCAGACGGGUGAGNNNCGCGUGGGAACGUACCUUUUGGUUCGGAACAACACAGGGAAACUUGUGCUAAUACCGGAUAAGCCCUUACGGGGAAAGAUUUAUCGCCGAAAGAUCGGCCCGCGUCUGAUUAGCUAGUUGGUGAGGUAACGGCUCACCAAGGCGACGAUCAGUAGCUGGUCUGAGAGGAUGAUCAGCCACAUUGGGACUGAGACACGGCCCAAACUCCUACGGGAGGCAGCAGUGGGGAAUAUUGGACAAUGGGCGCAAGCCUGAUCCAGCCAUGCCGCGUGAGUGAUGAAGGCCCUAGGGUUGUAAAGCUCUUUUGUGCGGGAAGAUAAUGACGGUACCGCAAGAAUAAGCCCCGGCUAACUUCGUGCCAGCAGCCGCG
rnacentral:rRNA from 1 species